GCCGUUGCAAUAGCCUAACUAUUUAAAAAAAAAAAUGAGAGCUAUUGCAACGGUAUGUGUUGUAUUAUGAAAAAUUUAGAAGCGCGCAUUUCUUCCCUCUAUUUUUUUCACCUAAUAUUUGAACAAUACUUCUCUUUAAUUUGCUUCCCUCUAUUCACAAUUCUCAAGUACAGUACCAUUUUCCCCCUUUUCUCCAAUUUUCCCCAUUCUCACCUUAAUUGAUUAUAGAGGACCAUUUUCACAGUAGAUGAGAAGGAGUACGUUUUUGUUGUAGUUGUUGCAUCUGAUUUAAAACCCGGACCUCAAAACUACCAACAAUGGCGCAACCACCGCCUGCACCACCACCGCGCUCAUAUACCAACCUCUUCGGCGACCCAAUCUACGAUUUAACCCCUUUAUGUUUCAAGAACAACCUCUUUCUCCCUCCUUUCGACUCCGAAUCCUACAUCUCUAACCUUCAAACCCAGUCCUCUCUCGCUGCACUCAAUUAAUCUCAAGUUACUGGUAUGUAUUUUGAAACAAUUAAAUUUAUUCUAGUAUAAUUUGUUGAAAAUGGCUCUAUUUAGUUGUUAAAUGCUAUAAUUUCUCAAAAAUUAAGCUACUAUUUGUUUAAUUAGGGUUUUCGUAAGUAAUUGCUUCAAUAAUUCUGAUGUCAUCAAUUUUGUUAAAUUAAUUUUGCAUUUUUGCUGGUUUGAUUGAGAGAAAGAGAACGAUUAAGGUGAGCAAUCUUCUUAAUACUCUUCCUGUUCUACAGUCUUACCGUAGUACUACAUUUUUUUUAAUCUUAUUUAUGGUUUCCUUGCGUUUUGUUUAAAUUUUUGUGUUUUCAAUUUUUCUGAUUCUGCUCAAUUUUUUUUAUUCUUUACUAUUCAAUUGAUCUAAAUGUAUUGGCUGACGAGAUCAUUGAAUUGUUUGUGAGCUAAUUGCAUCCCACCAUCCCACUAUUGAGUCUUCAGAAGCAGGUGCAUGAGCAGUUGGUAUGCUGGAACCUACAGGUUCUGCUUUUUGGCUAAUACCUUGUAGUUUUUUUCGUAGUAUCCUUUUUAACUUUAGUUGUUUAGUGUAUGUUUGGCUUUAGGCUGUACUAGUUCUGUGGCUUUCUUUUUGGUGAAUGUUUUAUUUCACAGCAUGCAUAUUCUCUUAUGAUUACCGAUCUUCCACUGCUCUCCUUUUGAACACUUCCCUCUUUCAAACAAAAAAUGAAAUAGAGGGUCGUAAUUGCUUGAAAACCAAACCCGAUUUCCUCGGCUUUCUGUAAUUCCUCAAUUUUCACCCUUUGAUUUGGAUAAUGAAGAGUCAAUGAUAGAUUGAUAGUAGUCUUAGUAGGUUCUUAAUUUUUCUCUUCAAUGUGAAUUAAGGCAACGACACUUGAGCGAUAUCAAUGUCUCAUGCUUUGGUGUGUCAACCGGAUUUAUGGAAGUUGCUCACUAGGACAGUGAUGUAUCAUACUAUAGCAUUUCUGCCUAACUUACUUUGCCUAUUGAAAAUGUAGAAUAACAUGCUCAGAAAUACAACAAGGUUCAGUACACUUGUUGAAUUGGUCCCCGCAAAACUAUGAGGCUAGGGCGGGAUGAAAAUUAGAGGUAAAUUUAGGUGCAUGGAUGCAAACUAGUGUCAAGUAAAUCUAAUAAGUCAUAAAAAUAAUAUGCCAAGAAUUUGGGCAUCUUAAUAUGAACAUCUUGCAUUCUUGUCAAACUUUUGGGACGGUAGGUAGAGCCAAGAAAAAAUCUCUUGGUAAACCGCAUGCUCAAAAGGUACUGUAUAUAUUAGGCCCAGCUUUUUAGUUGAGGUUUCUAAUCUUACUUAAACAAGUAGUAUAUCAUAUCGAUGACUAUUUCAUGGUUUUUUUUUCUGUAAGUUCAUGAGCUCAUCAGAACACUUAGUCUUACAUAGUUCAAUAUACUGUCAUGUAUGAGCUUGUGUCAGAAUGUUGGAAAAAGAUAUUAUACCUCCUGUUUUUAUGCCUAGUUGGUAUUUUAACUUGUCAUGGCUGUCGUAUGAGAAGAAAUGGAGAAUGCAACAUGCAUAUAGAGUUACGUUGGUUCUGAUGUUCUGAUGUUCUGUACUUUUUGUUGAUGCCUCUGUUUAGUAUUAUUGAGUCUGUGUUUGUUUACGUUGCAUAAAAGUGGUUGCACUCGUACUGUACAUCGUAAUUUUUCUCUAGGUGUUUCGGGGUGCUGGUUGUUCGUGUAAGUUGUACCCUGUUGUAAGUACAAUAGGAUGCAUUGUUCAGUAAAUUAAGACAACUAAUUUUCAUACUGAAACUGAAGUUAACUAGCUACUUAGACUCUCAAGUAACGAGUUUCUUGCCUUUUUCAUACGAACCCCUUAAAGACUCAUUUCUAGUUGCUCUUCUAGAGAUUGCAGCUCCUCUAUGUUUAGACCGGAGAGCUUUUGUCCCAUAAGUUGCCUGCCUUAUCAGAAUGGAAAUGAAGUCCCUAAAUAAGGGUAUAUGAACUCUUUGUUUUAACUACUCUUUUAUAUAUUCAUUGAACUACUACACCAAAUCAUAAUUACCCAAAUGCCUCUUAAGUUUUCUAUUUAAGGCAAACAGUUUCCGCAAAUAUGGUUUAUCUUGAUUUGUAUUGUUUAUUUGAUGGUGGCUCUUAAAAUACUAGAAGAAUGAUUAUACUUUGAUAUGGAUUUUCACCUUCUUCAUUCUGGUUAAAGCUAUAUCUUGUUUGAGAUUGUUUUAGUAAUAAAAAGGGUGAACUAAAAUCCAGAUUCUUCGGUUGUGCAGAAAGUUUGAGGGGUUUAGUAUUAUUUAGAGCUAGAUUCUUCAAGUUGUGCAGAAUUUGAGGGGUUCAAAUUAUUUAGAGCAAGAUUCUUCAAGUUUUGCUGAAUUCCUCUCUCAGUCUGCCACCUCCGACUGCGCAGCGGCGCCUUUGCGUUAAUUGAUAGCUCCAAUGGCGUUUCGAGGUGUGGGUUUUCAAUUGACAGCAACUAUAAACUCGGAUAAGCAGAGGUAAGCAAUUUGAGUUAGUGGUUGCAGUUUGCUAUGGUCUAAUUGUAGCUUAAUUGGGGUAUUCUGGUUUUGCUUAUGAUUAGUUAUUGUUGCUAAUUAAUCAGAGAGUGUUUGCAAUUUAGUCUGAGCUAAUUGUAAUUUGAAUUGGUAAUUAUCUAUUUUGAUUUAUAAUUAGGUUGCUGUUGAGUAUUUCUAAUUGUUUCAUGCAUUGUUUUUGGGUUAAUAGUUUAGUUAUUGCUGUUAAAUAAUCAGAGAGUGUUUGCAAUUUAGGCUGACCUAAGUGUAGUUUGAUUUUUUUUUUUAACUAUAAUAAAUAGUUUACCGUUCAGGAUUUCUAAUUGUUUCAUUCAUUGUUUUUGGGUGGGUAUGCGUUUAGCAAGGCCUUACUGGGUGAUGCGGAACUCAAGUUUUGCUUGUAUUUGUGGUGGGUGUGUGCUGCUUGGAUUAAGAUUGUUUUUUUUUGUGUGUGCCUACUGUCCUUUUUCUUUUGCUUUUGUGUCAAUUGAGGUCGUUGCUUGCUGGAUUUUUACUGUUUAUGGUUGGUGAUGGAAACUACUCUGUUGGAAAUAUGAUUUAGAAUCCCAAUUUUGGGUAGAAAAAGCUUGGCCAGUUUUUAAGGCCUUUUCACAUCUUGUCUUUUUCUAGGGAAGGAGUUAGCUUUAAGAGGGUCGGUUUACCCUUACUAUAUAUAUGACCACUCUCUUUUGAGUUGAGCUAUCUGUUGUUAUCUUCACUGAUCAAGGUGGUUCAGGUGUUGUUGUGCUAUAUAACUUGGUGCUCGUUCUACUCAGAUUUCCGCAGGUAAGAAGCCGCUGGUUAUACAAUGAAAAAUAAAAAAUAUCACCCCUCUGAGUGAAUGGGCAGCGUAUAAUUUUCUUCACCCUAAUUUGUAUGAAGAUGCUGAAUUUACUUCUGAGAUGAAGCGAAAUUGGGUUUAUAAUUUGAGUAUUCCUCAAUUUUCUUACUUACUCUCCAAGAUCCGCUCUCUUCAUACUUUAAUUUAUAAGGAUAUAGAGCUUUCUUAUAGGAUACCUCAUGCCUGUGAUGUUUGGAUUAAGAGACAGAAUGACAGGAAAUUUCCAUACCAAGAGAAGCAUGUCCGCCAACAGGCAUCGAUUCUUGGCAACUUGGAGGAUUUUGGGGUUUUGUCUGAGCAAUACUGUCAAUCUGAUCUCUCUGUUGUUGUUGAGUUUGGAGCUGGCAUGGGUUACUUAACCCAAAUAUUAGCUGAUUUUUAUGGGAUCAAUAAGGUCUUUUUGGUUGAGCGUAAGGCAUACAAGCUAAAGUAUCUUAAACUUUAGGCUGAUCGAAGUCUACCACAGAUAGACAACUUAACAUUGGAGCGUUUGAGAAUUGACCGUAAGGUUUUCCUAAAACCUCAUGUCUGGUUUUUUGAGGCCUUUAUCCUCGUGUGAGCUAUGUUAUGUUUUUGUAUAGUAACUUAUUGUUGCAUUACCUAGAAAUAUCCUCUUCUGAGCUUUGUUAUGCUUUAGUACAUAAAAUAAUCUAUAUGCAUACAACAUGAUCAUAAAACAUAAUUGACUUCAAAACCAUACUAUUGUUUUGUGAUACAAUUAACUAAACUUAUUGUUGCAUUACCUAUAAUUGUUGCUGAAGUGGCGUUAACCUAAUUUUCAUAGUGGAAAUGUCUUUGUGAAAAACUUAUUAACCUGUGUCAUUAUUAAUACUGCUCUUAUUUUCUUUUUUUUCUUUGGGGUUCAGCAUCCUGAUGAUUUACUUAAUCCCCACCCUUGCACCUAGAGGGGCAGAAUAACACGUAGUAUAUAUUGUCCUUAGCGUGAUCUGCUAUAUUUAGUAUCUUUGAAUGUUAAACCUACCAUACACAAUGAAUUCAGUUUACUUUCUCUACUAUUAAUCAGAUAUCAAAUGAAAUUUGUAUGAGGCUUGACUCUCCUUCAGUUAAGUCGCUUGGGUAGGCUAAUUGAUGCUUUCAUACUGUGUUUUGUCCAUGUUAUUUAUAACCAGAAUUCCAGCUUACUUGCAGGAAGAAAUUGGAAAUAAAGAUUUUAACUGCAUAUGUUCUUGACAAGAUAUGCACAAGGUUACUACAAGAUUGUACGAAGUAUAGUGACUAGCCAUCUAACAAAUGGUGCAUAUAUGUUGGCGACUCUUAUUCAAGUUCCGGCUUUGUGAAGAUUUGGAUAUUUCGGCUUAUAUAUAUGUUGACAAUUUGUAUUUUGUACGAUCAAAUUAAUUAUCUAACUUUUAUUUAUUAUUAGUACGGUAUGUUAUAUCAAAAAUAGGCAAGUAAUAUUUUGUAAUGUACGUAUUUUGCAUUAUAAUUAUUAUAUAUAAAUGAUACUUUAAUUUGUUUAUGUUAGUAUAUUUAGAUUUGUACCGACUAAUUAAUAUUAUAUUACCAUUCCAUCCCAACAAAAAAAAA